UUGUUUAUUUCCAGUGCAUCUUUAUUGUAACUUUAGUAUAAUACCAAGUCAAUUUUAACACCUAGUACCACGUGUGGCGAGUCAAGGCCUUUCGAUUUUCUGCUGUAUUUUUGCGAAAUCUUCAAAACAUUAAAAAUUGUGAAAUGCCCAGUUAAUGAGUUGCUGCUUUCGAAGAAGUGGGUGUAUACGAGUUGGGCGUAUAUGAAAUAUCUAGAUGAGUUGCGCCGCGGCCCAAAACACUUCCAGCAAAGCUUUGAGCUUUUGAAGACAGGUGGCGAUGGUAGUUAAUACAAUAUUUAAAUAAAACAAAAAUAAACGUUCAAAACAUUAUUAUUAUCCUAUUACAGUUACUAUAAAAUACUUCCAGUUUUAAAUUAUUCUAGAAAAUGUUAAUUUACAAUGUUGUCAAGCCACCAUUUUGUGGGAGUGUGAUGUGCAGAGGGGCCCAAAAUUGGACGAUCUUUACGCGUUUCUGCUAUCCUGAUAAGAAAUUUUGUAGAGAGAAGUUAACAUUUACGUAAUUAAUUAUUUAAUCAAGAAAUGUACUCAAUAAUUGCAACAUACUGAACAUACUCCGUGACCCGUGAUGGUACUUGACAUUGACACAUGACAAUUGAGAUUUUUUCACUUUUUUGCAAUAAAUUGGUAAAUAACUUUUAAAAUCACGUUUUGAAGCAAAUUUUAUUUAACUUUUAAUUAAAAUGGCAAAACUUGGAGGUGUAACCACAAUUUUAAAAGGAAUUUAUCAAGAUGAAUUUAAAUGGGCACUUGUCAAAUCUAUAGGAUUAUUCGCAUUAGGAAUUAGAAUUGCCCAAGAAUGUGCAGGGAUGGAACUACUGCCAACUCAGUCUUAGUGCAGAAUAGAUUAGAUUAUAGUUUUUGUUAGAGAUAAAAUAUAUAUGUAAAAUAAAUAAAAAAAACUUAAA